CCUACGGGUGGCAGCAGUGGGGAAUAUUGCGCAAUGGGCGAAAGCCUGACGCAGCGACGCCGCGUGCGGGAUGAAGGUCUUCGGAUCGUAAACCUCUGUCAGCAGGGAAGAACGGUCACUGUGCUAAUCAGCAGUGAAUUGACGGUACCUGCAAAGGAAGCACCGGCUAACUCCGUGCCAGCAGCCGCGGUAAUACGGAGGGUGCGAGCGUUAAUCGGAAUUACUGGGCGUAAAGCGCUCGUAGGCGGUAUGUCAAGUCACGGGUGAAAUCCCCGCGCUCAACGUGGGAACUGCCUUUGAAACUGGCAAACUGGAGUGUGGGAGAGGAGAGUGGAAUUCCAGGUGUAGGAGUGAAAUGCGUAGAGAUCUGGAGGAACAUCAGUGGCGAAGGCGACUAUCUGGCACAUAACUGACGCUGAGGAGCGAAAGCGUGGGUAGCAAACAGGAUUAGAUACCCUAGUAGUC
rnacentral:rRNA from 1 species